CUUGGGGUUGUGGGACGUCUCACAUGGAGUUACAAAGGUUCAGAUUAGACGAAGAGGUCUGGAAAGGCCCGCCAAAGAAGGUAAAAGCCCUGUAAUCGAAAGUGUGAACCCUCCGAGACGGAUCCCGAGUAGUGCGGGGCACGUGAAACCCCGUAUGAAUCUGCCAGGACCAUCUGGUAAGGCUAAAUACUCCCUAGUGACCGAUAGUGAAGCAGUACCGUGAGGGAAAGGUGAAAAGCACCCCGGAAGGGGAGUGAAAGAGAACCUGAAACCGUGUGCUUACAAGAAGUCAGAGCCCGAUCUAUGGGUGAUGGCGUGCCUUUU
rnacentral:rRNA from 1 species